UGGGAGCCCGGGCGGGGCAGCGGGGUCUGUGCCGGGGACCCGUUAACCCCUGUGCCCGGCCGGGCUCCGCCUGCGCUGCGGAGCUGCAGCCUCCAGGGCUGCAGAAUGAUGUCCAUGUUUUUCUCCAGCUCAUCCCAUCCUCCUAUGACACAGGGAAGAGAAAUGGCUGCAGUGGAACCAGCUCAGGGGCCGAUAACCUUCGAGGA